GGAGGCUUACCUGGCAGUCGAGGGGCAUCGGGAGGGAAGCUUGCUUUCCUUGCCGGCGACCGGCGCACGGGUGAGUAACACGUAUCCAACCUGCCGUCUACUCUUGGCCAGCCUUCUGAAAGGAAGAUUAAUCCAGGAUGGGAUCAUGAGUUCACAUGUCCGCAUGAUUAAAGGUAUUUUCCGGUAGACGAUGGGGAUGCGUUCCAUUAGAUAGUAGGCGGGGUAACGGCCCACCUAGUCAACGAUGGAUAGGGGUUCUGAGAGGAAGGUCCCCCACAUUGGAACUGAGACACGGUCCAAACUCCUACGGGAGGCAGCAGUGAGGAAUAUUGGUCAAUGGGCGAUGGCCUGAACCAGCCAAGUAGCGUGAUGGAUGACUGCCCUAUGGGUUGUAAACUUCUUUUAUAAAGGAAUAAAGUCGGGUAUGCAUACCCGUUUGCAUGUACUUUAUGAAUAAGGAUCGGCUAACUCCGUGCCAGCAGCCGCGGUAAUACGGAGGAUCCGAGCGUUAUCCGGAUUUAUUGGGUUUAAAGGGAGCGUAGAUGGAUGUUUAAGUCAGUUGUGAAAGUUUGCGGCUCAACCGUAAAAUUGCCGUUGAAACUGGUUGACUUGAGUAUAUUUGAGGUAGGCGGAAUUCGUGGUGUAGCGGUGAAAUGCUUAGAUAUCACGAAGAACUCCGAUUGCGAAGGCAGCCUGCUAAGCUGCAACUGACAUUGAGGCUCGAAAGUGUGGGUAUCAAACAGGAUUAGA
rnacentral:rRNA from 1 species